AGAGUUUGAAUCAUGGCUCAGAUUGAACGCUGGCGGCAGGCCUAACACAUGCAAGUCGAGCGGAAACGAGUUAUCUGAACCUUCGGGGACGAUAACGGCGUCGAGCGGCGGACGGGUGAGUAAUGCCUAGGAAAUUGCCCUGAUGUGGGGGAUAACCAUUGGAAACGAUGGCUAAUACCGCAUGAUGCCUACGGGCCAAAGAGGGGGACCUUCGGGCCUCUCGCGUCAGGAUAUGCCUAGGUGGGAUUAGCUAGUUGGUGAGGUAAGGGCUCACCAAGGCGACGAUCCCUAGCUGGUCUGAGAGGAUGAUCAGCCACACUGGAACUGAGACACGGUCCAGACUCCUACGGGAGGCAGCAGUGGGGAAUAUUGCACAAUGGGCGCAAGCCUGAUGCAGCCAUGCCGCGUGUAUGAAGAAGGCCUUCGGGUUGUAAAGACUUUCAGUGUGAGGAAGGCGGGUCGUUAAUAGCGGCGUUGUUUGACGUUAGCGACAGAAGAAGCACCGGCUAACUCCGUGCCAGCAGCCGCGGUAAUACGGAGGGUGCGAGCGUUAAUCGGAAUUACUGGGCGUAAAAGCGCAUGCAGGUGGUUUGUUAAGUCAGAUGUGAAAGCCCGGGGCUCAACCUCGGAAUAGCAUUUGAAACUGGCAGACUAGAGUACUGUAGAGGGGGGUAGAAUUUCAGGUGUAGCGGUGAAAUGCGUAGAGAUCUGAAGGAAUACCGGUGGCGAAGGCGGCCCCCUGGACAGAUACUGACACUCAGAUGCGAAAGCGUGGGGAGCAAACAGGAUUAGAUAUCCUGGUAGUCCACGCCGUAAACGAUGUCUACUUGGAGGUUGUGGCCUUGAGCCGUGGCUUUCGGAGCUAACGCGUUAAGUAGACCGCCUGGGGAGUACGGUCGCAAGAUUAAAACUCAAAUGAAUUGACGGGGGCCCGCACAAGCGGUGGAGCAUGUGGUUUAAUUCGAUGCAACGCGAAGAACCUUACCUACUCUUGACAUCCAGAGAACUUUCCAGAGAUGGAUUGGUGCCUUCGGGAACUCUGAGACAGGUGCUGCAUGGCUGUCGUCAGCUCGUGUUGUGAAAUGUUGGGUUAAGUCCCGCAACGAGCGCAACCCUUAUCCUUGUUUGCCAGCGAGUAAUGUCGGGAACUCCAGGGAGACUGCCGGUGAUAAACCGGAGGAAGGUGGGGACGACGUCAAGUCAUCAUGGCCCUUACGAGUAGGGCUACACACGUGCUACAAUGGCGCAUACAGAGGGCGGCCAACUUGCGAAGUGAGCGAAUCCCAAAAAGUGCGUCGUAGUCCGGAUUGGAGUCUGCAACUCGACUCCAUGAAGUCGGAAUCGCUAGUAAUCGUGGAUCAGAAUGCCACGGUGAAUACGUUCCCGGGCCUUGUACACACCGCCCGUCACACCAUGGGAGUGGGCUGCAAAAGAAGUAGGUAGUUUAACCUUCGGGGGGACGCUUACCACUUUGUGGUUCAUGACUGGGGUGAAGUCGUAG
rnacentral:rRNA from 1 species